UUCCUUUGCUUGACAGUAUCGCCCUUCACUUUACGCCUUGUUUACGUUACAGCUCCGAAUACGCCUUUUGCUUUUUAUUGGUUUAAAUAAAAUUUAAUAUUUCAAAUGAGUAAUAUUUUAAGCAGUUUGUUCAUUAUAAACACUUCCCAUUAACAGCUUAAACAGCAUAUGAUUUUACUCGCAAAUAGAUUAUUAUUUCGGCAUAAACGCAUCCAAAAGAUUUAGAUGAACCAAAUUUAAGUGAAACUGAGGCUAGAAUGUGUCAGGAGACUGUGACGAAAUUAAUCCAAAACUUAUUUUUCGUAAUCACGAAGCAUAAAACAUGCUUAUGCGAGCCCAACCAAUGUUUGAAAUAUUCAUAACUACAAACUUACUUGAAUAUCAGGGCACCCAUGUCCAUCAAUCGUUCACCAACAGUAUCUUCAUCUUUAUUAUGAAACGAAGAAGGCAUGCUUUUGCUGUCUACUGAUUUGAGGAGCAUAGUACUGUGCCCUUUAGAGCGUUUAGGGAUUACACGUAGAACGUUCAUUAUACAGUUUUUUUUCGCAUAAACAGCACACGAUUUUAAUUGCAAAUAGGAUACUAUUUUGGCAUAAACACAUAUGAAAGAUUCAGAUGAACCAAAUCUAAGCGGAAUCAAGGCUAGAAUGUUUCAAGAGAUUGGCGCAACUAUUAAUGUGGUUUUCUAUAUACUUGAUGUGCUCCAUCGGUACGCGACGCUGACCGCCAUUUUUAACUCGUUGGUCGUCGUAGGACAUCCCAUUGUUGAAAAUCAUCUUUUUUGAAAGGCAACGGGUUUUUUUAUCUUUAAUAUUGAGCGUUGAUUCAAACAUUUUUUUACACGCUCGAAUUUUCCCUUUAAUAGCUGGUAAAAAAUAUUUACGUGUGUAUAAUCUCCGUGAGUUGAGAACCCAUAAAAAUAAUGUAUGUGUUAUUUAAAUAGUUUUUAAAAUUAAUGUUAUUUAACUAACCGUUUGUCGACUUGUUUCACUAAUCACUAUAUGAUUCCUAAUAAAUUGAUUUUGGCCUGAAGAUGAAAGUUUCAACAGAUUUGAUAAUAACCGCUCACGUAAAGCAUUACUGUACUUUUCAUAGCAUUUCAAGAAAAAACAGUGGCAUGGAUCCUGUAUUUUCCUAGCUGGAACAACUGUACCGUCCAUUCAUAGGUAUUUUUCACCACGUUCCUUAGCAGUUUUGUUUAUUUGCCACAGUGACAUUUUCUUUAUCUUCUUACGACAAUCAUCUUUCCCCAGUUCUUCAAAUCCAGGAUCCUCGUUUUCAUCUGUUGAUGAAUGUAUUAAUAGAUAGUUAGAUAUUCUCACGUUAAACAAUACUGAUAUUAGUGACGCUAAUUUUCAGUUGGUUGAGUAAAUUUUCUAAUUUUUAAGCUAGUAAGCGUCGCUUAAAUUUUGGCUUUCAAAACGCUAAUCGCUAAUCCGUGGGUUUAGUGUUCAGCAAUUAUCGAGCUAAAUUUUAUAGCUAGCGAAUCAACGAUUAGCGUCGCUAAAUACAUUUUCCACUCUAAUUUUUUAUUUCAACUUUCACAAUGAAUCUGUCUUUGAGCGACUUUUAGGGCUUUUAAGGAUAAAAAAUUUGCAAUGCUAACAUUCUGAAUAACUCAACUCUACUUUUUUGCAUGUAAAAGCACAGGUUUAUUUUUUUUUUGUAUUUUUCCUUGGGACAUGCGUAGAUAUAAAUGCUUUUAAUUUGAUCCUUAAAGAUCGAAAAUUGAUAAACUGGUUCAAUAACAAUACAUUUUUUUGGGAAGUGAAAUACAUCGACCCUAACUACCCAACAAAAAUA